rnacentral:rRNA from 1 species
CCUACGGGUGGCUGCAGUGGGGAAUAUUGGACAAUGGGCGAAAGCCUGAUCCAGCCAUGCCGCGUGUGUGAAGAAGGCCUUCGGGUUGUAAAGCACUUUCAGUGGGGAAGAAAGCCUUGGGGCUAAUACCCUCGAGGAAGGACAUCACCCACAGAAGAAGCACCGGCUAACUCCGUGCCAGCAGCCGCGGUAAUACGGAGGGUGCGAGCGUUAAUCGGAAUUACUGGGCGUAAAGCGCGCGUAGGCGGUCUGAUAAGCCGGUUGUGAAAGCCCCGGGCUCAACCUGGGAACGGCAUCCGGAACUGUCAGGCUAGAGUGCAGGAGAGGAAGGUAGAAUUCCAGGUGUAGCGGUGAAAUGCGUAGAGAUCGGGAGGAAUACCAGUGGCGAAGGCGGCCUUCUGGACUGACACUGACGCUGAGGUGCGAAAGCGUGGGUAGCAAACAGGAUUAGAUACCCCUGUAGUC